CUUCAAUCAGUUACGGUUUGACGUUGAGAGUGAACGUAAGCUGCGCUGCACUGAUUUCUAUUGUAUAGAGUGAAUCGAACGAAUUUCGCAUAAGUGCCUGCGUACCGAUUAUUUAUCCACUUCUAAAAAUGUGCAGCCUCAAGGACAAUAGAUCAGGAGUGGCACUUGUAACUGGCGCCUCCUCUGGUAUUGGAGCCCAAAUUUCAGUGUUUCUCGCUAAUAAAGGAAUAACCGUUUUAGGAUUGGCACGACGGGUGGCAUUAGUUGAAAAUUUGAAUGCGCAUGUAUUAGGUGGUGGUAGAAUAGUCCCUUACCACUGUGAUCUAACCAGCGAGGACAGCAUAUUUCUUGCUUUUGAAUAUUUACGGAACUCCUUUCCGCCACUUACAAUACUCGUUUGCAAUGCGGGCAUACUGAAGUCGAAUUUUCUAGCAGAAUCACCUGGCCAGGACAUAAAAGAAUUAUUCGAUGUUAAUGUCGUUGGUACUUCCAUAUGCCUACGUGAGGGUCUGAAGUUAUUACGCGAAACUAAAACGAAGGGUCACUUUAUUGUUAUGAACAGCAUCCUUGGGCACCAUAUACCGAACCUACCGGUGCCGUUAUUUAGCGCUUACCCAGCAACGAAGCACGCCAUCACAGCGCUGUGCCAAACAGUGCGCCAGGAAAUUAAAUAUUUCAAGUUAAAUAUUAAAUUAACGAGUAUAAGUCCUGGAUUGGUAGACACGGAUCUGUUGAAUGUUUACUCUGACGAUAUUAUCAACUAUCCAAAACUUACAGCCGCAGAUGUCGCCAAUGCGGUUAUGUUUGCAUUAAACACACCAAAUUAUGUGCAGGUGGAAGAAAUCAUUAUCAAAGCUAUGGACCGCUAUGAUGAAUAAAAUCAUGACUUUCAUAAGAUCAAAUGGUAGAGAAGCUUUCCUUUGAGGGUCAUCAGCGAAAUUGAAUAAAAAAAACUUUCCGCAGCUAUUUUCUGAAAUGUUAUAAAAAAUCAUAGUUUUAAGUAAAUAUUCAAAUAUCGGAGUAGAAUCAAUUUCAUAAAAACAAUAUACAUAUAAUUAGCGGCAUAAAUUCUUGACACAAUUCCAAAAAUACUAUUUUGCGAGGCCUUCAAAAUAGACAUUGGUUCUGUCGACAUUUUUAUAUCCUAUAUUAUUAUUAUCGUGCCUGUAUAUUUUCGCAGUUCUAUGUAACUUUUUGUUAUUUGUUUCAUUUUAAUAUUAGCUAGAAAAAUAUUUGCGUAUGUACUAUGAACUAGUCUGGUAAAAAUGCUAUUUUUUAAUAAAAUGCGUUAUGGCUUUGUGCAACAAAUAAAGUUUUAAAAAAGCA